UAAGCAGUGAGGAUGAGCAAAACUGGUUUUGUCACUAAAAAAAAAAGUUCUAGUUCCAGGAUAGGUGAUAAAUUAGGAUAUAGUGAGAGACAACUUGGGAAAUACUUAUAUCAGUUCACUAUUAUGAAAACUUGUAUUAUGAGAGUGGUGAUGGAGACCAAAGGAUGAAUUCUAGUGGCAUGUAGGUGACAGAAGCAAUAAGACUUCAAGAGCUAUUGGACCGGAGAGGAACAAGCAGAAAAAGAUACAGAGCAGAAGGAGGAAGAUGAUGAACACUGAAGAACUCUAACAGCUUGUAUCCCUCUUGAUACAGGCCAUCCCCAAAGCAUUACCAACAAGGGUGGUGUGAGGCAGUCUCUACAAGAACGCUGCAUUCUGAUGCGUCGCUACGGGCACAUCUGCAUAAAUGUACAGACUGCUCUGAGAAGGGUGCAAUAUUACAGAACUGAAGUUUUUACUUUACGGAUAGUGUGAGUCCAUUUCGAAAAGGAUAUUGAUG